rnacentral:tRNA from 1 species
GGAGAGAUGACCGAGAGGCCGAAGGUGGUUGCCUGCUAAGCAAUUGAGCGGAUUAUAAGUUCGCUCCGAGGGUUCGAAUCCCUCUCUCUCCGCCA